CCUGAUAGCUCAGUUGGUAAAGAAUCUGCCUGCAAUGCAGAAGGCCCUGGUUCAAUUCCUGGAUCAGGA
rnacentral:tRNA from 1 species